AGUGGGCUGGGAGUGGGAAGCCCAGGACACCACGGAGUUAUCAGAUCAGCUUGGUUAUAGACGAGAAAAGCCUCCAUUUGUUCCUUAUUGUCUUCAUUUUCUGUAUUUGGUGGAGACAGAAAAGACGAAAUGAGAUUUCUUUUCUUUAAAUCUGUCAUUUCCGCCUGUGACACCUCCCUCAACAAACCGCUGAUAAUACAAAAUUAAACCAAAUUAUGAUGCUCAUUCAAAGCUGGUGAGUAACUUGUGUCCUUUGUGGGUUUCUGAUAACACUACUUUACAACAUAUCAAAUAACUAUCUGGAUUAUUUUUCUGUUCAAAGUCAAUACGCUGUAUGACGUUUACAAAAUUGUUCUCCAGCUGGAUCUUGAACAGAAGACGCUGAAUUUUACAGUCAUUCCCAAAAAUCUGUCGCAAUAACGCACAACUCUCAAUGCAGCACCCUGUGCACUAGUGUGGAAUAAUGAAAAUAGCCCAGCAUGUCUGCGGUAUUAUAACUGAUCUAACUGACCACUCAGAGACUGAAAGCCACAUUCAAGUGUUCUAACCAUUCAUGGCCAAUAACUGGGUUUCCUGGGAGGAGCUGGCUGGAAGAUUUCUGCGUCUAUAUUCAGACAAACAUGAGGUUUUUGUACUAGAAGACCACGUUUUCCCUAUAAUGACUUUUCUGCAUUGGCUCCCUGUUAAAUCCAGAUUUGGAUUCAUAAUCCUUCUCCUCACAUGCAAACGCUUUAAUAAUCAGGUCCGGUCAUAACUUAACAUCCAUUACCUCGCUGUUGCACUCCCCUGGAGUAUUUAAAAGUAGAAUGGGAGGGAGAGCCUUCAGUUUUCAGGCCCCUCUUCUGUGGAACCAGCUUCCAGUUUGGAUUCAGGAGACAAACACUAUCUCUACUUUCAAGAUUAGGCUUCAAACUUUCCUUUUUGCUAAAGCAUAUAGUUAGGGCUGGACCAGGUGACCCUGAAUCCUCCCUUAGUUAUGCUGCAAUAGACGUAGGCUGCCGGGGGAUUCCCAUGAUGCAUUGAGUUUUUCCUUUCCAGUCACCAUUCUCACUCACUAUGUAUUAACAGACCUCUCUGCAUUGAAUCAUAUCUGUUAUUAACCUCUGUCUCUCUUCCACAGCAUGUCUUUAUCCUGUCUUCCUUCUCUCACCCCAACCAAUCACAGCAGAUGGCCCCGCCCCUCCCUGAGCCUGGUUCUGCCGGAGGUUUCUUCCUGUCUUCCUAUUUUUAUUACAAAUUAUAUCAGUAAGGAAGCUGACUAAAUAUUCACUGAUAAUUUAUGGCAAAGGGGUGGGAUUAAAUAAGUGUAUACUUCUUCCCACUCCCUUUCAACAUGUAAAUUAAUCAGAAUGUUUUUUUGUAUGUAAUUUGUAUAGUAUUUUUUUUCUCUCUUAUUUCUUUUCUAAAUGUACUUGUAUAUUGUUCACAUGUUGAAAUAAAUUACCAAUCAAUCUCAAAAGGGAGUUUUUCCUUCCCACUGUCACCAAAGUGCUGCUCAUAGGGGGUCAUGUGAUUGUUGGGUUUUUCUCUGUAUCUAUGAAGCGCCUUGAGGCGACUUGUGUUGUGAUUUGGCGCUAUAUAAAUAAAAUUGAAUUGAAUUGUGCAGAAAAAGUGAAUGUAUUGUCCAUAUCCACACUGCAGACUGCGCCACUAUUUUCCUCUUCCAGGCACACAAACUGAGGAAGGCAAAGAGAGGAGGUGAACCCAACUGGUUUUCCUGGGUCAUGGAGAACAAAUUACACCCAAACAUUCCUGAUGAUCUGUCCAGGUGCAUCAAGAUGAUGUAUGUUCAAAGAAAUGAGCACUGAUGAUGAAAGACAUACGCACACAGAUUGUGGAUAUUUAUUCAAUUCCCUUAGGCUGAAUGUUUGCAUACACAACUUGUCUCUCUCUCCCUGUGUGUGUGUGUGUGUGUGUGUGUGUGUGUGUGUGUGUGUGUGUGUGUUGGAUUGCCACUAAACAAACAACAAUCAGCUAGCAGGUUGUUGCCUGCAGGCAGCUUGUUGUAAAGUCAAUACCUGUGAAAUUGAGAGUCAUCAUUUUGCUGCAAGUAUUUUAUCUCCAC
ensembl:lncRNA